rnacentral:rRNA from 1 species
UACGGGGGGGGCAAGCGUUGUCCGGAAUUAUUGGGCGUAAAGCGCGUGUAGGCGGCCAGAUAAGUCCGCUGUGAAAUCUCGAGGCUCAACUUCGAGCUGUCGGUGGAAACUGUCUGGCUAGAGUGUGGAAGGGGCAAUCGGAAUUCUUGGUGUAGCGGUGAAAUGCGUAGAUAUCAAGAGGAACACCUGAGGUGAAGACGGGUUGCUGGGCCAACACUGACGCUGAUGCGCGAAAGCCAGGGGAGCAAACGGG